ACUCCUACGGGAGGCAGCAGUAAGGAAUAUUGGACAAUGGGCGAAAGCCUGAUCCAGCCAUCCCGCGUGCAGGAUGACGGCCCUAUGGGUUGUAAACUGCUUUUGUUUGAGAAGAAACGCCUGGAUUUAUCCGGGGCCUGACGGUAUCUUACGAAUAAGCACCGGCUAACUCCGUGCCAGCAGCCGCGGUAAUACGGAGGGUGCAAGCGUUAUCCGGAAUCACUGGGUUUAAAAGGGUGAGCAGGCGGAUAAAUAAGUCAGAGGUGAAAUCUUGCAGCUUAACUGUAAAACUGCCUUUGAUACUGUUUAUCUUGAAUUAGGUUGAGGUCAGCGGAAUGUGACAUGUAGCGGUGAAAUGCGGAGAUAUGUCAUAGAACACCAAUUGCGAAGGCAGCUGACUGGGCCUUAAUUGACGCUGAGUCACGAAAGCGU
rnacentral:rRNA from 1 species